CCCCACUGAAGAAUUUUCUGUUAGGUAAGAGGAAGGGGAAAAAAAAAAAUCUGUCUUGCUUAAGCCUCUCCUGUUCUUUGUUAUUAAUAUAUGUAACUCCAGCUCUCACACCAUCUAUGUCCUAAGUCUGUGACUCAUAAGUCUCUCUUAGUUUUCAAUUGAAAGCAUGCAUAAACUGUUCACCGUUACUGCAUCUCCACCUUUAACUUCACCUGCAAGCUCUCCAUUUCCAGUAAAUAAUACUGAUAACUUUUGUUUUCCCUUUUUCUUGCAAAAUUUGGUGACACAUACUAUUUAUUUUCAGGAAAAAAAACCUCUGACAUUUUCCUCUUGCUAUUCCAAUUGCUAAGCCAAGGGGACUUGCUGCCUACAAAUAAAGGUUCCUUUAAAAACAUUCCGUUAACCAAAAGCCGUAUGAUUGUUUGAGGAGGCACACAUCCAUUAAAAUGAAUAUGUCGGGGAGAUGCCAAUCAGAAGACGGCUGAAGAAUUAUUGCUAAAUGGAGACAGGCAAGGUUGUGUGGCGAAGAUGCUGUUUGAGGCGGUCUUGGAGGAGGGCCAACCACUUGCAGAGUAAGGAUGAGCUGGAGCUCCUGGGGGCCCAGUCACCAUCUAAGAAGCCUGAAGAUGUUUCCAUUGCCAUCUCAUUAUCAGUUCCUUUCAGAACAACUGAAAGAAAGAAAAGACAGAUUUAUUUGCCGAAGCGAUAGAGAAGGAUAUUAGGACAAACGUCUAUGUGGAAAAAACAAUCCAACGUACGCAUUUCUUGGGUGAAAAGAUACACAGCGUUUUCAGAGGCUUUUCCCCCGCUCAUCUUAAUGAAGGUGAAUUAUUUAACACAGUUAAAUAAUCUCCAGUUUUCAAUUUAAUGAGACUUACCAGCCCUACGUUUGGCACAUUCUCUUCUAUUAAGCUUUCAGCUAAACCCCAGAGAUAAAAGGUGUUUUACUUCAAAGAAAUCUGAUUUGUUUUUUAUCUAGUAUAUUCAACUGGCAUAAAUUCAGGCAUACCACAUCAGACCUCAGUGAAAUCUGUGUUAGAAGUUUCCCUUUGUUUUCAAAGUCCUUAUAAAUAGCUUUCUUCCAAGCUAUACCUGGUCUUUGUGAACAGAAUGAGUAAGGUUUGAGUGUGUAGGUAAACACAUUUGUAGGAGUCUGUAGAUUUAGGGCCUGGACUGUUAAGGCAGAUCUGGAAACUAUAAGAGAAUAGCUAAGUAAACUAAAAAAAUAUUAGAGAAUAAAUAGGUUUUUUUAAAAAAUAGAAAGUCA
ensembl:lncRNA